UAAAAUCAAAACUCCUAUAUUAAUUACAGAGCAAUGAUAACACAACUUCCGCACAAGCCUACAAGCUUGCUCUACCUGAUAGAGCUUCUUGGUAGAAGUGAACACACCCCAGACAAAUCCACACAGCAUUUCCUACUGCCUAACAGUUGGAAUUCAGAACAAAGCUUGGCAUUAAAAGUGAGGCCAAGUUAGGCUAGCAACCCUGCUUAAGUCACACACGGGCCUUGGCCAUUGUAGGAACAGCGAGAUAAAUUACAAAAAUCCACACACACAAAUUAGACCCCAAACAUGAUCCCUACUUCAACACAGACUAGCUGAAAAGAACACCAUGAAGGUUAACCAAAAGGACAUGAAAAUGAAGUAACUGAAGAGAAUUUUUCCCUCUCGUCUCCAUCACAAUUAUCACUUCUAAAGGUGACAACCACUACCUGAAGGACUUGACAAAUUUCUCUGGCCACGUGACGAUCC
rnacentral:lncRNA from 1 species